AUUAAACAACACAAUCAUCCCUUUCUUGGUGAUGGUAUGAAGCAUUUUACCUGCAUAGAGCAGGGCCCAGAAGCUCCUUUUGAAGGCUUCCUCUUUAUUGAACUUUGGAGAAAGAACACUUCUCAGCUGAAAGAGAACUGAAGACUAAGAAUUCUAGAAUCCUCUCACCAACAGGUGCCCAAAGGAAAAUCUUUCUGCCUGACACACAAGUAUCAGAUUUUGUAUGAAUAUUAUGUUUUGUGGAAAUUUAUCUUUGGGAGGUUGUCAUAUUAGACAUCUACAUGUAAGCUCCAACUCUUCUCUCUCUUUCGUGAGUACCCUGAUGCCUGAGAAGCCCUUUUGAUGGCACAGGCAGGUGGAGGCCAGGUUGUUGUAAGGACACUGCUUUUGUGCCUUUGUUCAGCCUCACCCUUGGUGUGCUUUCGAGUGCACUAAGGUACUAUUGAGGAUUUGGUACAAGGAGCAGAGAGAGGGCUGCUUGAAAUUCCUAAAAGACAAUCAGGUGCAUUCUUGUACAUGGCAGGCAAUGUUGCAAAGCACUCUCAUUCCCAGAACCAAGAGGGAAAGGACACUGAAACUGUGACACUGCCAUGAAUCAUGGGAAGAUUAGUUAAGGAACUUUUAUGAGGGAGGGGACAAGUUUGUGUUUUAUGUACUAUUUCUGGAAAAUUCAAGGAGUGGCAAUGUUUCAGUCCCCGUGAUGUGAAAAUAAGAACCUUCGUCCAAUGGCAGCUGGUGCUGAAAUGCAACUUUCUGGAAGUCUCCUGUUUAAUGGGUCUGUGAGGUUUUGACCUCUGGGUCCCAACGGAUCCCAGGACCCACAGUGCUGUUCUGUGAUAAGGUAAGUUACCUGGUGGUCCUUUUUUCGCAGGAGUAGAAAUUGGUAUCAUUAAUCUUGUCCCCAUCACUUACGUAAUCCUCAAACAGUGUGACUAGACUUAUCCUAUACUUUUCAUUUUACAUUCAGUUCCCUUUCAUUUUUUUUUUUUUUUUUUUUUUUUGAGACGGAGUCCCGCUCUAUUGCCCAGGCUGGAGUGCAGUGGCGCGAUCUCGGCUCACUGCAAACUCCACCUCCUGGCUUCACGCCG
rnacentral:lncRNA from 1 species